GAACAUAAUUGCGAUCGAUUUUCCAUUUGGAAAUUUUUUUUGCAUGGUUUAUAACGACGCAUGGUCUCACUGUUAACUUGUAUUCGGUGAUUUAUUUUUAAUUUCUGGUGUGUAAAUUGCAACAGAGUAUGAGACUUGCAUCGAGGAAAGCUAUCCUUUCAAAAGAGCUGAAAUUAAGAAUUUCACAAUUUGCCUCUUUGAUUCAUUAAUAGCCUUUUCAUGCAGAGUGACU
rnacentral:misc_RNA from 1 species